GCCUUCGUGGUGUAGUGGUCAGCACGCUCAAUGCGCAUUCGAGAGGUCCGUGGUUCGAGUCCUGGCGAGGGCA
rnacentral:tRNA from 1 species